GUAGUCUCGCACAGAUGCAUAUCAAUAAGCGGAGGAAAAGAAACUAACAAGGAUUCCCUAGUAACGGCGAGUGAAGCGGGAAGAGCUCAAAUUUGAAAUCUUAAAGGGUUUCCCUUUACGAAUUGUAGUUUAAAGAAGUGUUUUCUGUUGAAGUUUUGGUAAAAGUUCUUUGGAAUAGGACAUCAUAGAGGGUGAGAAUCCCGUAUUUGACCAUUAUUUUCAGCUGUGUGAUACACUUUCAAAGAGUCGGAUUGUUUGGGAAUGCAGUCCAAAAUGGGUGGUAAAUUUCAUCUAAAGCUAAAUAUUGGCGAGAGACCGAUAGCGAACAAGUACCGUGAGGGAAAGAUGAAAAGAACUUUGAAAAGAGAGUUAAACAGUACGUGAAAUUGUCAAAAGGGAAGCGUUUGACACCAGUGUUGUUUUCUCGAAAAUCAAUUAAAAAGAGUUUAGAUUUUGUUGUGUAUUGACCUUAACAGCUUGCAUUUCAAUUUUCUUGCUUUUUUUAAUGCACUUUUCGUUUAACAAGUCAACAUCAGUUUCUUUUGUUGUAAAAAGGUCAUUGGAAGGUGGCUUUCUUUUCGGAGAAAGUGUUUAUAGCCUUUGACUCCUGCAAUCGGAGAGACUGAGGUCUGCAGCGUAGAUCCUUCGAGGUUAGAUACAUUUGUGCUAAGUUAUAGCUUUUUAUAGACAACUUGUUGACUAUGAUUAGUCUUGUAGCUUACUCGCUUAUGCUAUUUUACCUACGCUUAGGAUGUUGAGCGCAUGUCUCUCUCU
rnacentral:rRNA from 1 species